rnacentral:pre_miRNA from 1 species
GUAGUACUCCCUCCGUCCGGAAAUACUUAUCAUCGAAAUGAAUAAAAGGGAUGUAUCUAAAUAUAUUUUAGUUCUAGAUACAUCCUUUUUUGUUUAUUUUGAUGACAAGUAUUUUCGGACGGAGGGAGUACUAA